rnacentral:lncRNA from 1 species
CAGAUAAUGGGCCAUUUUAAUGGUGUAAUGCCUCAGAUUCAAACAUUCCCCAUUUCAGACACAUCAUGAUUAGAAAAUCGAAAUAAAGAAAAAUCAUUUUACAUAAUUUGUGACUAUUCCCUAAUAUUUUAAAAUGUCACAUAACCCUCCCUAAUAUUUUAUUCUAAGCUCUGAGUCCAGCAUAGGAAAUAUAAGAACACAGUAUUUAUCCUUGCCCUAAGCCCAGAGUAGGGGGUAAGAUGCUUAAAUACUAAUUAUUUAGAAGAAAUAAAGAGUAGGAUAAGAGAAAUGAUAGAGAUAGGCACUGAGUAUCUUGAAUCUCUCAAGAAGGCUACCUAAAUAGAAUGGGGAGCCCUCAGCCUAGGAAUCCAACUUACAAGGGAUGUGAAGGACCUCUUCAAGGAGAACUACAAACCACUGCUCAAUGAAAAAAAAGAGGAUACAAACAAAUGGAAGAACAUUCCAUACUCACGGGUAGGAAGAAUCAAUAUCAUGAAAAUGGCCAUACUGCCCAAGGUAAUUUAUAGAUUCAAUGCCAUCCCCAUCAAGCUAACACAUACACCCUCCCAAGACUAAACCAGGAAGAAGUUGACUCUCUGAAUAGACCAAUAACAGGCUCUGAAAUUGUGGCAAUAAUCAAUAGCUUAACAACCAAAAAGAGUCCAGGACCAGAUGGAUUCACAGCCAAAUUCUACCAGAGGUACAAGGAGGAACUGGUACCAUUCCUUCUGAAACUAUUCCAAUCAAUAGAAAAAAAGGAAAUCCUCCCUAACUCAUUUUAUGAGGCCAGCAUCACCCUGAUACCAAAGCC